rnacentral:rRNA from 1 species
CACGUAGGCACCAAGCGUUGUCCGGAUUUAUUGGGCGUAAAGAGCUCGUAGGCGGUUCGGUAAGUCGGGUGUGAAAACUCUGGGCUCAACCCAGAGCCGCCACCCGAUACUGCUGUGACUCGAGUGCGGUAGGGGAGCGGGGAAUUCCUGGUGUAGCGGUGAAAUGCGCAGAUAUCAGGAGGAACACCAGUGGCGAAGGCGCCGCUCUGGGCCGUGGCUGACGCUGAGGAGCGAAAGCGUGGGGAGCGAACAGG